rnacentral:rRNA from 1 species
UACGGAGGGGGCUAGCGUUGUCCGGAUUUAUUGGGUUUAAAGGGUGCGUAGGCGGCCCUGUAAGUCAGUGCUGAAAUAUCCCGGCUUAACCGGGAGGGUAGCAUUGAUACUGCAGGGCUUGAGUACAGAUGAAGUAGGCGGAAUUGACGGUGUAGCGGUGAAAUGCGUAGAUAUCGUCAAGAACACCGAUAGCGAAGGCAGCUUACUAAGCUGUAACUGACGCUGAGGCACGAAAGUGUGGGGAUCAAAC